rnacentral:lncRNA from 1 species
AUGCCCUCGCCAUGGGUCAGCGGUGCCAGUGCGUGGUGCACCAGGUCAGCAGGGAGCCCUGUGACCUGCAGCAGGGCCUCCACAGCCACCUCCUGCCAGAGGCCAAGACUCAUCAGCCACAGCCCGGUGAAGGGGGCAGCCUGUGCCCCUAACAGUGCUGGAGACCCCACCAGAAGGGAGGACAUGGCCCGGCCAUGCUCCAGCAUCUGCUGCCUCAUCAUCUCGCGUGACCCCAGCUCCUACCUCAGCGCUGUUGAAGCACAGCAGGAUGUACAUCUGCAGCGUGGACACGUGGAGGACGCAGUCUCCAAACUGCAGCUCAGCGUGGCCCAGCCACGUCCACUGCAACUGCCAGGGCUUUGUGCACUCCCAGCCCAGCAGGCUCUGACCUGCCAGAGACAGCACCAGUGCCAGAGACAGCACCAGUGCCAGAGACAGCACCAGUGCCAGAGACAGCCCUGCCCACCCCCAGCACACCCCUGCCCUCCUGCUGCUCCAGGCCAAGCUGCUGUGCAGGGCCUCGGGGCUGCCCAACACUCACUGCGUCUGCAGAAGUUGACGAACUCAUCCAGGGGAGCGCUCAGCGCCGCCGAGAACAACCUUUGGGGCUGGUCCAUGUGGCACAGCGGCGAAACAGGCCAGCAGCGCGGGGACAGGGCCAGCACCGUCACCUCCGGUGCAUCCACCACCGAGGCCAGCCCCAGUGCCUGGCACGGGGGCAGGAGCAUGGCUCAGGAUGGGCCUCGGGAGCCCUGGCAGGAACGUGGGCAGCCCCCAGCUCCCCACCCCAGCAGCACUCACCUCGUCCAGGCCCUUGUCCAGCUCCAGCAGCUGCCUGUCCUGCUCCUGCAGCUGGUAGAGGCGAAACUGCCGCUGGAGCUCCUCCGAUUCGGCCAGGUUGCUCAGCAUGGCUUGGGGGAAGCGGCUGGGGAAGCACAGCCCGAUCUGCUCCACGAUGGCUCCUUCCAGCCACGAUGGCCCUUGCACCAGGAGCCGGUCUGCCAGGUAGUGCCUGCCACAGGAACCAGCAUCUGGUCAGGGGCCAGUCCCAGCCCCAUGGCCAUCAGCCACAUGCCAGGAGUCAGACCUGGCCCCGGCCCCGGUGUCCCCCCAUGGCACAUGGGCCCGACAGCACCCAUCUCCGCUCUCCAUUGCCAGCAGGGAACAUGCCUCCACAGACCAGCAGCACCUGCGGCCACUCACAGUCCUUCCCUCCAGACACCAGAGCUGGGAAAAGCAAAGCGGGAGCACCACAGCCAUACAAAGCAGGGCUCAGCAUCGCCUGCACCUCCCCUGUCACGCCACAGCACGGACCCCAGGCCCUCUGCUCCCACGGGGACACAGGACCCCUCACCGGUAGAAGUGCUCAAAGCUGUGGGCGAGCUCCAGGCCACUGAAGACAACAAAGGGCUCCAGGAUCUGCUGCAGCUGCCCUGUGCUGCCCGCAGCCCUGUGGAGCUCCUGGAUCUGCCUGUCCAGGUAGCGGGCAAACUGCUCACUCACCUGCAGAAGGACAGUGCUGGCUGCGGAGGGGGCUCAGCCCUGCGGGGCGGCUGCAGGGCUGGGCUGGGGGAAUGGCUCUGGGGGAGCAGCUGGGAAAGCUCCGGCACUGGCGCCGGCUCCCUCGACUCACGUGCAGGGCAGUAA